GCCAGGUGCAGUGGGGCAGACCUGUAAUCCCAGUGGCUCUGGAGGCUGAGGCAGGAGGAUCAUGAGUUCAAAGCCAGCCUCAGCAACUCAGUGAGACCCUGUCUCUA
rnacentral:sRNA from 1 species